CGACCUCAGAUCAGACAUGGAGACCCACCAAAUUUAAGCAUAUUACUAAGUGGAGGAAAAGAAACUAACCAGGAUUCCCUCAGUAAAGGUGAAUGAAGAGGUAAGACCCCAGCACCAAAUCCUCACCCAGGUGACAGAUGCAGGGAAAUGCGGCGUACAGAAGUUUGUCUCCCUGGCGCCGCCCAGGGGGCCCAAGUCCUUGUGAUCGAGGCUAAGCCUGUGGUUGGUGUGAGGCUGGUGGUGGCCCCUGGCACAUCGAGAGCAGGUCUUCCCGGAGUCAGGUUGUUUGUGAAUGCAGUCCAAAGUGGGUGGUAAACUUCAUCUAAGUCUAAACACCAGUACAAGACCGAUAGUAGACAAGUACCAUAAGGGAAAGUUGAAAAGAAAUUUGAAGAGAGAGUUCAAGAUGGCGUGAAACCAUUAAGAAAUAAAUGGGAAGGGUCCAUGCGGCGCGCCCUGAGGAUUCAACCCUGUGGCUGUGCCGGCCAACUGGGUGAUCCCCCUCGGUGGGGUGGGGGACUAUCCCUAGGUGUGCCGGCUGACAUUGGGUGCACUUCCUCCAUGUCAUUGUGCUGCAACCAGCUCCAGGUUAGCUGGGAAGUUCGUAAGGAAGGUGGCCCUCCUCCCCAGAGGGGAGUGUUACAGCUUGUGUCAUUAGCCCUCACCAUAACCCGGGCCGUGUGAGACGACCGCUGCCACACCCACCUCUGCUCUCAUGGUGUGAGCCAUGGGCCCCCAACUCCCGGUGAGGCUAUCAACUGGGCCAGACUGCCCUCAGUGCUGUCCAACUGCAUCCCAUCACCAGGCCAGGUGAUGCCAAUGACCCACCCAUCACAUCUUGAAACACAGACCAAAGAGCCUAACAGGUGCAUGAGUCCAAGGGUGGGCAGGAGACCCUAUGGCACAAUAAAAGUGCUGGCUGGCAAGUGCUGACUGAGGCAGGAUUCCCCUGCCCUGUGUGGGGGGUGCACUGCUGGCCCAUCUCACCUGUCCCGUUGGGGAGGUGGAGCAUGAGCACACCUGGUGGGAUUCAAAAGAUGGUGAACUAAGCCUGGGUAGGGAGAAACCAGAUAAAACUCUGGUGGAGGUACGUAGUGGUCCUGACGUGCAAAUCAGUAAUCUGACCUGGGUAUAGGGGCGAAAGACUAAUCGAACCAUCUAGUAGCUGGUUCCCUCUGAAGUUUCCCUCAAGAUAGCUGGAGCUUGGUGGACGCAGUUUUAUCUGGUAAAGCGAAUGAUUAGAGGUCUUGUGGCUGAAAUGAUCUCAAACUAUUCUAAAACUUUAAAUGGGUAAGACGCCUGACUCGCUGGCUUGUAGCCAGGUGUGGAAUGCGAGCGCCCAGUGGGCCACAUUUGGUAAGCAGAACUGGAGCUGCGGGAUGAACCAAAUGUUGGGUCAAGGCGCCCGAUGCUGAUGCUCAUCAGACCCCAGAAAAUGUGUUGGUUGAUAUAGACAACAGGACGGUGGUCAUGGAAGUUGGAAUCCGCUAAGGAGUGUGUAACAACUAACCUGCCGAAUCAACUAGCCCUGAAAAUGGAUGGCACUGGAGCAUCAGGACCAUACCCUGCCAUCGCCAGCACUUGGAGCUGUGGGGGCUACACCACAAUGAGUAGGAGGGCCACCACAGUAGCACUGAAGCCCAGGGUGAGAGCCCCGGUGGAGCUGCCACAUGUGCAGAUCUUGGUGGUAGUACCAAAUAUUCAAAAGAGAGCUUUGAAGGCCAAAGUGGAGAAGGAUUCCUUGUGAAUAGCAGUUGAACAUGGGUCAGUCAGUCCUGAGAGAUAAGCUAGUGCUUUUCUGAAGGGAUGGGAGAUGGCCUCUGUCACCCUCAGCUGAUCAAAAGGAAGUCGGGUUCAGAUGCCCAAAUCCGAAGCGGCAGAGAUUGGAGUAUAGUGGCGUCCAGUGCAGUGAUGCAAACAAUCCUGGAGAAGCUGGUGGGGGCCCCUGGGAGAGUUCUCUUUUCUUUGUAAAGGACAGGGCACCCAGGAAUGGGUUCACCCCAAGAGAGGGGCCUACACCCUGUAAAGUGUCACGGUUCCAGCGGCAUCAGGUGAACUCUUGCUGGCCCUUGAAAAUCUGGGGAAGAGGGUGUAAGUCUUGUGCCGGGCCAUAACCAUAUCCUCAGCAGGUCUCCAAGGUGAACAGCCUCUGGCAUGUUAGAACAAUGUAGGUAAAGGAAGUACGUAACUUCAGGAUAUGGAUUGGCUCUAAGGGCUGGGCUGGUCGGGCUCAGAUGUGAAGCAGGGCUGGGUGCACACCAGGACUGGACAAGGUGUCACCACCUCACCAUGGCCCCACUCCUGGAGGGGUAAGGGGAUAGCACUGGCGACUCCAGACGCACAUCAGGCCCUUCCUAUGGAUCGCCCUGGCUGCAUCAGGUGCCAGUCCUGACCGGCAUCCCGCAUUGUCUGGCAGCUAACAGCUGACUUAGAACUGGUCUGGACCAGGGGAAUCUGACUGUUUAAUUAAAACAAAGCAUUGUGAAGGCCCAAGACAGGU